rnacentral:lncRNA from 1 species
CUCAUUAACAGGACCCUUGUAUUGUAGUAGGUCACAUGGUAUCUACAGAAAAGCCUGUUUUUGUGAAUUAGAUAUAGUCAAAUUCUGGCCCAUGGGAUACACACAAAGUCAUUUAUGACUUUUGAGAAGUAGUAACCAAAGAAGAGAGACACCUUUCUCCUUCCAUCCUUCUCUAUUUCCUGACAGCUAGAAUGUAAACAUGAUGGCUUGAGCUCAGGCAACGAUCUUGGGCUAUAAGGUGAAUGCCGUAGGUUAGGAUGGCAGAGCAACAGGACUGAGGAACUCAAGACUCUGAUGAUCAUGGAGCUGCCCUACCAUCAUUGGUCUGUUUACUUCCACACGCUGCUUACCUGAGGGAGUAGCCAACUUCUAUCUUAUUUAAGCCAUUAUUAUAUCAGCUCUUCUGUCACUUUAGCCAAGCACUAUCCUAAUUAUCCUAAUUGGUUAAAAAAAAAAGGAAAGAACAUAAAAACCAUAAGUUCAACAUUGACAGUCCAGAAAGAGAAAAGACAAGUCAAUGGAAAUAAUGCAAUUUGAUGAUAACAUUAACUGUGUCAUUUUAAGGGGGUCACCAAUUAUAAAAUGCACUGUUAUUUUAUGUACUAUCAAGAAAAAUAAUACUGCCUUUAAACUGAGUCAUAAUGCCUUAAAAACAGCCCCCCAUGACACAUGAACCAGUCACACCAAUCUCUCAUUAGUUUGAGUUUUUUUUAAGGCUUAUUCCAAGGGAUUUCACAAUGUCUCUGGCCUUGGGCUGCCUUGCUGGCAACGUGACGGGCCACCUUUCAAAGCCUAUCUCAGAAACAAAACCCAGCACAGUUUCUUCCCCUUUCUUCUUCCUGUCCUGCCCCCACCAAGUGCUCUGGGUCGUUACUUUGAAGAAACAGAUUCUGGUUACUCCUCUGAUGACAAAGCGUUGCUUCACUCAUGUCAAAUCUGUGCCCUGCCACUCGUGUCCUGUGUGUCUUCAGAUUCCUUCCCACUCAGUGGUUUGUCAUUGCUCUGUUGAGUCUUGGCACCUCCAAGUCACUUCAGAUGGCAAUUAAUGCCAAACAAGAGAUGCCUCCCAGGGCACAGUGCUCAGCGGAAGGCGACUCCGAGGCUGCGCUCCCGCAGGCAGGGCACCCUGGGCCCGGCCACCUCAGAGACGCGAUCACAGGAUGCUUUUGAGGGCAAGUGCCUCUCCAGCCGUGAGAGGGGAC